rnacentral:rRNA from 1 species
GUGAGUGGCGGACGGGUGAGUAACACGUGGGUAACCUGCCCUAAAGUGGGGGAUAACAUUUGGAAACAGAUGCUAAUACCGCAUAAAACCUAACACCGCAUGGUGUAGGGUUGAAAGAUGGUUUCGGCUAUCACUUUAGGAUGGACCCGCGGUGCAUUAGUUAGUUGGUGAGGUAAAGGCUCACCAAGACCGUGAUGCAUAGCCGACCUGAGAGGGUAAUCGGCCACACUGGGACUGAGACACGGCCCAGACUCCUACGGGAGGCAGCAGUAGGGAAUCUUCCACAAUGGACGAAAGUCUGAUGGAGCAACGCCGCGUGAGUGAAGAAGGUUUUCGGAUCGUAAAACUCUGUUGUUGGAGAAGAAUGUAUCUGAUAGUAACUGAUCAGGUAGUGACGGUAUCCAACCAGAAAGCCACGGCUAACUACGUGCCAGCAGCCGCGGUAAUACGUAGGUGGCAAGCGUUGUCCGGAUUUAUUGGGCGUAAAGCGAGCGCAGGCGGUUUCUUAAGUCUGAUGUGAAAGCCUUCGGCUCAACCGAAGAAGUGCAUCGGAAACUGGGAAACUUGAGUGCAGAAGAGGACAGUGGAACUCCAUGUGUAGCGGUGAAAUGCGUAGAUAUAUGGAAGAACACCAGUGGCGAAGGCGGCUGUCUGGUCUGUAACUGACGCUGAGGCUCGAAAGCAUGGGUAGCAAACAGGAUUAGAUACCCUGGUAGUCCAUGCCGUAAACGAUGAGUGCUAGGUGUUGGAGGGUUUCCGCCCUUCAGUGCCGCAGCUAACGCAUUAAGCACUCCGCCUGGGGGAGUACGACCGCAAGGUUGAAACUCAAAGGAAUUGACGGGGGCCCGCACAAGCGGUGGAGCAGGUGGUUUAAUUCGAAGCAACGCGAAGAACCUUACCAGGUCUUGACAUCCUUUGACCACUCUAGAGAUAGAGCUUUCCCUUCGGGGACAAAGUGACAGGUGGUGCAUGGUUGUCGUCAGCUCCGGUCCGGGAAAUGUUGGGUUAAGUCCCGCAACGAGGGCAACCCUUAUUACUAGUUGCCAGCAUUUAGUUGGGCCUUU